UUUCUGCGACGCAGCUAACGCAUUAAGUGCCCCGCCUGGGGAGUACGAUCGCAAGAUUAAACUCAAAGGAAUUGACGGGGCCCCGCACAAGCAGCGGAGCAUGCGGCUUAAUUCGACGCAACGCGAAGAACCUUACCAAGGCUUGACAUAUAGGGAAAAGUGGCAGAGAUGUCAUGUCCGCAAGGGCUCUAUACAGGUGGUGCAUGGUUGUCGUCAGCUCGUGUCGUGAGAUGUUGGGUUAAGUCCCGCAACGAGCGCAACCCUCGUUCUGUGUUGCCAGCAUUUAGUUGGGGACUCACAGGAGACUGCCGGGGUUAACUCGGAGGAAGGUGGGGAUGACGUCAAAUCAUCAUGCCCCUUAUGUCUUGGGCUGCACGCAUGCUACAAUGGCCGGUACAGAGGGCUGCGAUACCGUAAGGUGGAGCGAAUCCCAAAAAGCCGGUCUCAGUUCGGAUUGAGGUCUGCAACUCGACCUCAUGAAGUCGGAGUUGCUAGUAAUCGUAGAUCAGCAUCGCUACGGUGAAUACGUUCCCGGGGCUUGUACACACCGCCCGUCACGUCACGAAAGUCGGUAUCA
rnacentral:rRNA from 1 species